UCAGGUAGGGAUACCCGCUGAACUUAAGCAUAUCAAUAAGCGGAGGAAAAGAAACCAACAGGGAUUGCUCUAGUAACGGCGAGUGAAGCAGCAAUAGCUCAAAUUUGAAAUCUGGCGUCUUCGGCGUCCGAGUUGUAAUUUGUAGAGGAUGCUUCUGGGCAGCCACCGACCUAAGUUCCUUGGAACAGGACGUCAUAGAGGGUGAGAAUCCCGUAUGUG
rnacentral:rRNA from 1 species